rnacentral:lncRNA from 1 species
GAGUCCCAACACUGGUAUGGUCUGAGGCGGACUCCACCCGGCCUGAGACCUGACGCUCUGCUUUCCCCUGACCUCCACUGACAUCUACGACCCGCCCUGGAGGCACGGAAGGCUGUGGGGUUCCAGCCCCCCAAACUGUGCAGCUGAGGAAAAUGAGCCGUGAAUGGGGGCAGAGCCAGAUCCUGGGCGGGACCCUGCGCAGGAUGAACUCAGGCAGCCAGAGGGACCCCGGGAAGAUGGGAGUGAGAGCUGCCUUCGUCUGCAAAAGUCUCCAGACACCACCUCACUGGUGAAGGCCAGAGACCCUAAACUGUCCCAAGACCACCUGACUGGGCUGCCUCCCUGCCACCUGGCUGCCAGCCUCUCUCAGAGCGCCUGCAAGCUAUUCCUCCAACCCAGAGUUUCCUUCCCAGCUAAAGGCCUUUGCACCUGCUGUUCCUUCUGCCUGGAAGUUCACCGCAGACUAUCCCAGGGCCUCCAUCCUUCCCAUUGCAUGGUCCCCAUCAGCUGCCGCCGCCUCUGAGAGCUCAGUCUCCACUGGCCAUCCUGUCUCUCAGCCCACUGCACUCUCCACUCUGCCAGAAAGUCCCCCAAUCAGUGACAACACAGGUCACGGUCCACACCUCACCUGGUUUGUCCCCAGUGCCCAGCAUCUGGCACCGAGCAGGUGCGUGCAAAUCCUGGACAGGUGGGCAAGCUGAUGGUGUCCAGAGGCCCCUGGUCCUUAAGGGCAGGGGUGGGGAUGGCUCAGAGGACAUAACCUUGCAGACCCGGGUUCAAAUCUGGGCUCCUCAGCUCAUUUGGUCCUCACACAGCCCAUGUUGGGAGAGCUAGUGUUCUCCCUGUUUUGCUGAUGAGACACAGAGAAGGUCAGCAACUCCCGAAGAUUGCCCAGCAAGUUGGGAGUAAAGCUGGUGCAAUUCCCACGUUUAGCUGCUAAACAGGGUGUCCUGUACUUGGUGUGUUCAAGCAGAAAUCCACACAUGGGAAGGUCAAGGCAACAUCCCUGGUACUCCAGCUUUGAGGUCCUAGGAAAAAGGGAACCUCCCAUUAAAUGCUUCUAUUGCCGGGAAGUUCAGCACCUGUAAAAGCAGCCCCUUCCCGUUUCACUGUGGCUGCAUUUUAAUUCUUAUUUUUUAAAUGUUUAGCUUAAGGCCGGGCACAGUGACUCACACUAUAAUCCCAGCAAUUUGGGAGGCUGAGGCGGGAGGAUCACUUGAGCCUAGGAAUUCAAGACCAGCCUAGGUAACAUAGUGGGACCCUAUCUCUACAAAAAAUAAAAAAUUAGCCAGUCAUGGUGGCAUGCUCCUAUAGUCCCAGCUUGGAGAUUGAGGUGGGAGGAUCACCUGAGCCUAAGAGGACAAGGCUAGAGUAAGCCCUGAUCCCGCCAGCACCCCAGCCUAAGUGAAAGAGCGAGAGCCUGUCUCAAAAAAGAUAAAAAAAAAAAAAGCAUUAAUAAAUAAAUGUUUGGCUUCAUCUAGCCUGAGCAGCACCAACA